UGCUCUGUGGGAUCAGUGGCGAACGGGUGAGUAACACGUGAGCAACCUGCCCCUGACUCUGGGAUAAGCGCUGGAAACGGCGUCUAAUACUGGAUACGAGUAGCGACCGCAUGGUCAGUUACUGGAAAGAUUUAUUGGUUGGGGAUGGGCUCGCGGCCUAUCAGCUUGUUGGUGAGGUAAUGGCUCACCAAGGCGUCGACGGGUAGCCGGCCUGAGAGGGUGACCGGCCACACUGGGACUGAGACACGGCCCAGACUCCUACGGGAGGCAGCAGUGGGGAAUAUUGCACAAUGGGCGCAAGCCUGAUGCAGCAACGCCGCGUGAGGGAUGACGGCCUUCGGGUUGUAAACCUCUUUUAGCAGGGAAGAAGCGAAAGUGACGGUACCUGCAGAAAAAGCGCCGGCUAACUACGUGCCAGCAGCCGCGGUAAUACGUAGGGCGCAAGCGUUAUCCGGAAUUAUUGGGCGUAAAGAGCUCGUAGGCGGUUUGUCGCGUCUGCUGUGAAAUCCGGAGGCUCAACCUCCGGCCUGCAGUGGGUACGGGCAGACUAGAGUGCGGUAGGGGAGAUUGGAAUUCCUGGUGUAGCGGUGGAAUGCGCAGAUAUCAGGAGGAACACCGAUGGCGAAGGCAGAUCUCUGGGCCGUAACUGACGCUGAGGAGCGAAAGGGUGGGGAGCAAACAGGCUUAGAUACCCUGGUAGUCCACCCCGUAAACGUUGGGAACUAGUUGUGGGGUCCAUUCCACGGAUUCCGUGACGCAGCUAACGCAUUAAGUUCCCCGCCUGGGGGAGUACGGCCGCAAGGCUAAAACUCAAAGGAAUUGACGGGGACCCGCACAAGCGGCGGAGCAUGCGGAUUAAUUCGAUGCAACGCGAAGAACCUUACCAAGGCUUGACAUAUACGAGAACGGGCCAGAAAUGGUCAACUCUUUGGACACUCGUAAACAGG
rnacentral:rRNA from 1 species